rnacentral:lncRNA from 1 species
AUGAUGGCAAGAAAACGGAGAAGAAACACGCGAGUGAAGAGCAAGGAGAGGAGGACAAAGAGCGCAAACCUUGCCGUAAGGCCUACGUCCACAAGCCCUUCCUGUACUCCCGUUACUACAGCGACUCGGACGAUGAGGUCACCGUGGAGGAGCGCCGCAGAUCAGUGGUGGGUUUUUGUGCAGCUCCAGUGCCGAUGUGACCCUAAACAAAACAUCGGACAUGUUCUUCUGUGCACAAACUGUGUUUACAGGCGAAAGACAAGGAAGAGAGGCUGUUGAAGAGGCAGCAGAACAGAGAGCGGCUGGAGGAGAAGCUGAAACAGAAGGCAGCACAGGCUGAACAACAAGAUCGCAAAAAACAAAAGAGCACAGACUCAGCUGGACUGGAGGGUCCCAAAGCCAAAGAGGCCCGUAAGGAAAGGAAGGUCCUCGAGAAGAAGAUGGCUCUGAACCGGAAGAGGAAGCUAGACUCCAGGAAAGAGGGAGAUGCUUCCAGCAAGAAGAAGGGCGAUGCAGGAGACGCAUCUAAGAGAGCGGAAAUUAAGCCGUCGAUAUCGAAGACCCCACAACCUAAAUUUGCAAGGAACCUGUCAGAAUCAGCGGCGUGUGACGAGAGGCACCGACGAAUGAGCGCCACCAUUUCUGAAGAAUCCGACGACGGCAAGAAGCCGACGGAGAAGGCCGUCACACACGCUUUUAUCCUGGAAUUGGAACAAGGAUCCCAAGAGGCCCUAAAGCAGCGCUCAUUUGGGAAAUUCGACCGUCCGUCUCGCAAAGAGCUUCAUUUGAAGGAGCGCAAAGACAAGGAGCGCAGCCUGUCGGAUGAUCGCGUCAAGCCCAAGCAGAAGCAGGAGAGGAAAUCUGAACAGCAGGUGGAGGAAUCUCAGCACAGGGAAGGCGCCGCUGCUAAAGGGUCGUCUGAAGAGAGAGCCGAAAAGAAACUCAAGACCAAAAGUGAGAAAAAACUGGCAGCAGCAAAUCCAAAAGAUGGGAAGGUGGCUGAAGGUGGGGUUGAGGACGGAGGCCUUAAAGAUGCCAAGAAGUCCAAAGUAUUUGUGGAGACUGUGAAAGUCGAGAAAGAAAAAAGAGAAAAAGAUAAGAACAAAGAAAAGGAAAAGGCCAAAGGGGAGAAAUCUUUGGUUAAAAGUGAGUUUAAGCAGCUACUUUGUCCAGAUUCUGCAGGCUCCUCUGAGGAUUUGGAGACGGGUCCAGACGGCACCAAAAAGAAAGACAAACACUCCAAGGAGCUGUUGAAAAAGUCUAAGAGCCACACUGAACCCGGAGAAAGACCAAUACUGAAAACGGAGAGCGAGAAGGAAAAGGCUAAAACUGACCAAGACAGCCAGAGGCCACAAAAGCCGAGCUCCGAAGCUGAUCCCAAAAAGAUCAAGUCUGCAGAAAAAGGAAAGAUCCUAGAAAAAUCCAAGACUAAGUCUAAAGAGGAGACAAAGAUUCCAGUCACACCUAUAACAGACAAGAAAACUCCAAGUCUAGACGUCCGAAAUCCAGGGGUUCCAUCUGUGAGCAAACUGGAAGCAAAAAAAGACAAGAAAAAAGACGGAAAUGCAAAAGAUCAGCUGAAAGUAUCAGUCGAGGCUCCAAACGAGAAGUCGGGCCUUAAGACUGGAAAGAAAAAGGCUGUGAAAAAGGAAAAUAUUCCAGAGAAGAAAGAUGAAGACAAGGUGCAUCUCCCAGAGGGUAAAUCAGAGAGGUUUGACAAAUCCUCCAAGGCUUUACUUUUCACUCUGGCUUCUGCAGCAGAAGACCCUCCAAAGAACCAGCUUCUUCAUCAAGACAUGAGCGCAGAGUCUGCCACCUCUGCUGGUGACGCACAGCAUUCUGAUGGCGGCUUAGAAGACGACCCCCCUGAGCCGUCUGAAGACAACGCAGAGCCGCGGCUCGAGAGGCCACGGCUGCCGGCUGAGGCCGACGCCCUCCUGACGCUUAUGGAUGUCUGCGCCUCCGCAGAGGCCAGACUCCCAUCCCACAACCCGGAGGAGGAAGAGGCACCUGAGGCGGAGCUGCAGGAUGCCGACAUGAAGAUGAAAGAGGCCGCGCUGACACUGCUGUCCAUGGAUCCUGACAGCACGCUGUCCUCCAGCCUCGUCUGCCAGGGCGCCAAGAAGGAAGAGGAAGAAGAACCGGCGAGCCCGACAGUCCUGCAGCCACCGGAAACUUCUGCAGCGGAAGAGGAGCGGCUUCACGCGUCACAGGGGCAAGCAACUCCGGACACCGACCUGACCGUCCCCGAAACGUCCACUGCACCUCUGCAAACCGAGGAAAGCACAAACACUGCAGAUGAGUGUGAAGACUCUGAGAGACAAGCGGACGCAGCCGGGCACGAAACGUCCGACAUGGAUGCUGCACAGGAGGAUCCUUCUAUUCCAACGUCUUCAAGAGACAAACAGGAAGACGAUGCUGACAUUCCUGCUGAUUCACAGCCAGAUGAGAAGGAAGCAGGCGACGAGGAGAUUGCAGAUGUUGCUUCAGAGGAAGCAGAGGAGAUCAGAGCCAGCCCUGGACAAGAGAUGGAGGAUGCUGUGCCAAAAGACGUUGGGAAAGUUUGUGAGACUGGCAGUGAGUUCAGAAAUAAGUCUUUCUAG